AUGCUUAUUGAUCUUGGAGACUUUGUCACCUUAAUUGUGAUGCAUGCUUGUUUAAUUGAGCUUAUUGCAUUUGGUUGUUCUCGCAUCAUAUGCCUCCAUACUAUGAAAUGCUCCCUUGUCCUUUCUUAUGAUGAGCAUGAUGCAUACACUUGUUGGGUAUCUUACCACACGAAUGAUAGGUUUUCCACUUCUGCUAACCUCAUUUGUUUUUCCGAGUGUUUGUCAUGUUCUUUCGUUUUGAAGGAUUCACAAGGCGGUACCAUGACGAGACAACUUGGUCAUGUGAAGGCGUACACGAUGCACGACACCAACAUUUUCGACAUUCUCAUAAAGGUGAACUCCUUCCUUUUGAGCCAUCCUCACAUAUGCAUAUUGGAUGGGUCAUUCUUUCAUUUUUGUCUCCUUCUUCUUGUCUACAUGAUACAUCUAUCGGAUGGAGGACAGACAUUGGAGAUGGACCCUAUGGACUUUCAAGUUGAGGAGUGCCAUGACAUCGAGCCAUGGUACAACACCACCCAUAACAAAUUUGCAUCUUAUGCGUGGAUUGACUCACAUAAUGAUUGCCUUGUUGCAUCUUCUAUUCCCAUGUCAUCCAUGAUAGAUGAGCUUGUGCAUUUCCUUAGCAAAUUUGUUGUGAUCUCUCUUGAUGGCAUAUUCAUACAUAAUGAUCAUAUUACCUAUCAUCAAUUGCAUGAUCACAUAGUCACAUCGAGCACCAAUUAUCAUGUUCAUGCUUUUGAUACACCAUCCCAUUAUGACAUCAUUUUCCAUAAUGGUUGCCUUGAUCACAUUCACAACACCUUUGUGUGCACAAUGAAUGAAUUUACUACCAUGAAUGCAUUACAUAUCAUUCCACAUCUUUUGGAUAAGCAUCAUGUGUCUUGCCAUGCACAAUAUUUUUGA
rnacentral:rRNA from 1 species